GUUUGUAGUCUGCUUAGCAACUCUUUCAUGAUUAUCUUGAUUUCUCAUGUUCCCAAUGUUAUUAACCAAAUCAUUUUCAAAAAAUUUGUGCUAGUUAAAACUUCUAACGUCAGUUUGUGAAAUAUAGAUUCACGUGCAUGGUUACUUAAGGAAUAAUCUGACUAAAAUAAACCUUAAUUGGAUGCCACUUGAGAUAAGACAUGUGAAUUGCUUCCUCAGAAAUACUGCUCAAAUUCAUUUAUAAAA
rnacentral:misc_RNA from 1 species